rnacentral:lncRNA from 7 species
CUCUCUCUCAGCUGCAGAAACACACAGGACGUGUCCUAGGCUCGCAACACAAGCCUGUGACCAUCUGCACCCAGCUCACAGCAAAGCAGGAACCGUGAGGAGAGAUCUCCAAAAGAUGUGCGGGCAGGUGGGAUGGGCCAUGCCGUGUCCCCAUGUCCAUGUCCUCCUGCUGCUGGUGUUUGGUACUGCUGUGAGCACCCAGGGCAUCUGCAGUUCCACAGCUGAUGGUACUCUCCAGGCUCCAGUCCUAGUCCUUAAUGCUUCCAGAGCUCAGGAAGGGGAAGUUGUCCUGGCUCAGUGUGUCCUUCAGAAGAUGGUUCCUGCUGUGCGAAUUGUCUUCUGCAAGGAUGGAAUGGAGGAUUACAGUGUGAAAGCCCAUCAGGAUACGGUCAUCUACUCCAUGCUGCUGAACAUCUCUGCAAGAAGCAGUGGGACAUAUGCGUGUGGGUACCAGCAGAGGAACGAGAGCAAUUGGCUAAGGAGCUCUCGCCUCAGCACUCCCUUGGACCUGCAGGUCACAGGUGGGACAUGACACCAGGGUGGUGGGGACAUAGGGGAUGGCGGGUAAUUAACACCACAUGGAUAUCCCAUGUGCAGCAAGAGGUGCCAAUAGAGAGAGGAUGGCUCUGGAAGGGUACCUGUCUCGAUCUUAUGCUGCAGAAAUGGGGCUCUGCAGUGCCCAGGUACAUAAAGCAGGCACAGGAUUUGGGCGUGGUCCCUUUCCUGGGUAAGGAUGCUCCAAGGGUUAUUCCAAAAAUGUUUUGAGAAUGCAGAAGGGAAACUGGGGUGAUUUCCAGGUGUGAGGUUGCUCCUUUUUGUUUGAUUUCCUAUGCAGCAAGAUGAUGAUGCUGUGGCCAUAGUGUGAGGAUGGGCAGAUGUUGGUGUGCUUAGUAUUUGUGUAGCCUCUUCUUGCAUCAAAGCCACCAAAAAGAGCCUUUGGAUGGUGUCAGGAUGGGAGAUGCAGGAUGGAGUCUUGCAAGUGGGACGCUGCCAUCCCAUCCCAUAGGGGCAGAGCAACAUACUAGUCCUUUCUUAUCCCCAAGGUCAAAGAAAGGAGAGUUGUGCUGCAGUAUCAUACGGUGCACAGUUGCAUUUCUGCCAUGCAUUUCUUAAUUCAUCAUAGUUUAGAUAAUUGAUCAUCAGAAUUGCAGAAACCCCAUGUCAGCCCACGUGUCUCAGGGGACAGAGCUGGCUCUGUGGGCAUCUUCCAAGGCCUACAUACCCUGCCCCGAACCAGUGCAUUCAGAAACUCUGGCCAUGCAGAGCUAUGAGCACUGGUGACACUCAGCCCAUCCAUAUAUCUGUCCAGGUCGUGUGUCCAAUUCCACGGCAGGAACCAUAACUGCAGGUGAGGGACUCUCCUUUGCUCCUACUGACCCCAUCCCUUCACCUUUUCCCUAUUCCUCCCCUCUUUUAUCAUCUCAUCGCUAUGGCACUGUAACACCCCAACUUCUGCGUCACUCCCAUCUGACCCCAUCACCCUCUGUGUCCCCAGACACCAACACUCCUCUGAACCUCACAGUCAUUCAUGUGCUAUCAGUUACUGUCACCCUCCUGCUGUCUGCAGCCACCUUCUGGACCAUUAGGAAAGGUGAGGACUUGAGGGGACUGUGGAGGAUCCAUGAGGCUGCCACAGCUUUGAUGUGAGACUUUUUCUUGCAGGUGCCUGCCGGGAGAGAUGCCGAAGGUGAGAAGUAAGGCUGGGAGGGGACGAUUGAGAGCAUUUGGAAACUUGGGGAAGUCCUUUUGCAGGGCAGCAUUAUCUGUGAGUUCCCCCAUAACAGGAAGGGACUGCCAUGGUGUUGGAGAAGGAAGGAUUUCCUCAUGGUAAUAUUACUGAUAGCUCGUGGAUGCCUGGAGGAUGAGGGAUUGCCGUGGGGUUGGAGUGAAUGCAGUGCCUGAUGCAAGGAGGCUUCAUCCAAAUGAAUAACAGUCCUGGCCCCCUGCAGCAAACAUCCACCCCAAAUCCAUUUUCCCUUAAUCCACAGGCAGCAGCACGUUCCCAGCCAGCAGGUGCAAGCCACCGACAAUGGAGAAAUCCAAUGUGAGUGCUGGGCACCCCUUUUCCAUGGGGACCCCCUUCCCUUGGGCUCCCAUUUGCCAUCCCACC